rnacentral:lncRNA from 1 species
CCGGUGCUGGCCACUCACCCAUGGCCGGGUUCUGUUCCCGGGUCGUGUUUUCCAACACGGGUUAUAUUCAGGAGGUUGUUUUAGAGAUCAAGAAACUCCAAGGUGGGCAAGUUGAGAAUGAUUAAGGAAGGAGUUUACGAGAGAGAAAAAUAGGGAUGAUAGAGAAACCAAAUGCUUUUUAUUUUUUUUAGUGUUUUAAAAUAU